UUGGGCGCUCUCUAGGUGGGUCUGUUUCUAGUGCAUGUGUUUUCUGCCUGUUUGUUCAUGACUAGAUCCAUACUCAUCUAAAGGGACCCAAU
rfam:Daphnia magna strain Xinb3 scaffold02385, whole genome shotgun sequence.